AUGGAAACCGCACACCGACGUAUAUACAAAAACGAGGCAAGAAACACCAUCCUGUAGUCAGUCGGUUAGUGAAUGGCAACACAGUCACAACUGCUUUCCAUCUCCUGGGAACUUUGCAUCACUUUGCCAUUGUUUGGUUUUUCGUUAAUGUUACACCAACUGCAGUAACAUUUCAUUGGCGAUGUGAAUCAAUUGAGGUCAUCCGCGGAUUAGGAGACACUGUACAAAUUCUCCGUGUUCUUAUUCCCCUCCGUUUGUUGGAUUUAGAAGGAUACUUGGCCGGAAGGGGGCUCAACACAUCAUGGAACACUGGACAAUAUCGUUGAUAAUGGUCUAUACUUUGGCCACUUUUGCCACUACGUCUGGUGUUUAUUCCCAGCAAUCGAUGCUGAUGGAAGUGGAUAAUGCCGGACAUCAUCAUUUCGACAUCGAACCUUCUACGGACGGUAUGAUGGCCUGCUACUAUUGCAUUAACGUGUCCAGCAACGAGAUAUGCAACCGGUUCGCCAUUGAAACUCCUUGUCCAGUGGAUGAUUAUUCCACCGAUUUGACGAUGUGUUACACGUUUCACGUGAUGGACGAACGAGGGAAGACGCUCAUCGUGACGAAACAGUGCGCCACAACGGAAACAUGUUCGUCACAAGUCGGUUGUCGUCAGGAUAACUCGACCAACCAGACGGCAUGCGUCAGUUGCUGCGACUUGAAUUACUGCAACGAGAAAGUCGCUUUCAACGCCAGCGACGCUGUGUUUCUGCGCUCAAACGACCGGACGGCAGCAUUUUCAUCGGCGUCCAAAUUUAUCGGCGGUCGGUGGAUUCUACAAUCACUAACAGUGGCUCUUCUUCUCUUGUAAUCGCCUUCCUGUCGUCUUUGAACUGAUCGCCUCUUGGACAAAAUCAGUAUUUUUAUGGGCUGUUGGGGACACUUUCCCAGUGUAUUUCCCAUCCACCAGAGCUAACGCAGGAUUCAGAUUCUGUAGUAUCUAUAGGAAGGAAGACGCUGGUCUAACGAGGCUCUAAGGCAAGCGUCGUGCCUUACGUCGUUCGUGUUUUGCAAUGACGUCAAGCUGUUGAGAACACAACGGGGAAAAUAGAGCGAUGGAUUUCUGUUAGCAUCACGUGAUUCCAGUGGAAAAGAAAAAAAAAUAACAACAUGCAGGAGUUGAGAGCAAACUGUGGGCGGGGCAUAUUUUUCCUGGCCAUUUUUCACUUGAUGCCAGUUACACAACCAAUUGAAUUGAUCUAAGAUUUCGUUUACCACGCCCUUAUUGUCCCCUUAAAUUGCGUCGUGUAAUUUUGGGCAUGGUCCAUUUUUCGCCAACUGAUGGAACGCUGGUACUGCAAAAGCACUUUAGAAUCCCUAACAAUUGCUCUCCAAACAAUUCUGCCAAUCCGUCAAAAUGAUUUGUUCACAUUUUAUUAUUUUACCUGAAUGUUAUUGUUAGUACUGUUUCAUCACUGUGCGUGCACAGCACCUAAAAAACGGGAUCCGCUUCAGCGUGAACGAUCGAUACGGACUCUAUUUGCCAUGGCAAUAGAAAGAAGAUGAAUCUGCUGCAUGAAGAGAGUUUCUCAUGUAUAUAACAUGUACAGUAUAAACAGCAAGUGAUGAUGUAAAACAAACUCAUCGUGAUUGGUUUCCCCCUUUUUUGUUAUUCCUUUUUUGAUUUAUUCUGAACCGGGUAGAGGAUUCUUACAUUUUCCUCGCUCUCUCCCCUGUCUAUUUGUUCAACCGUGUGUACCAUAAAUGUAACACGCGAAUUGUGAUGGAGUCUCUCUUUUUAUUGACAAUAUGUACAUUACAUACAGCCCACGUAUAUAUACAUAGCACUGAAUUUGAAGGCGGAGACUAUAAUCGAAUUGGUGCGAUUCUCCUGGACUUGGAACUGAUUGAUGGUGUAAAAAGUAUUGGAUAUCUGAUACGUGAUUCCCUUUUUUUUUGUCGGCGUUGACUAUCCUGUUGUUUUUUGUGUUGUUGUUGCAUUUAUCUAAUAAGACGGUCCAUCAUACAACGGCUCAAGUAAUGUAAUUGAGCUCAUCUCUA
rnacentral:misc_RNA from 1 species